CCUACGGGUGGCAGCAGUGGGGAAUAUUGGACAAUGGGCGAAAGCCUGAUCCAGCCAUGCCGCGUGUGUGAAGAAGGCCUUCGGGUUGUAAAGCACUUUCAGUGGGGAAGAAAGCCUUGGGGCUAAUACCCUCGAGGAAGGACAUCACCCAUAGAAGAAGCACCGGCUAACUCCGUGCCAGCAGCCGCGGUAAUACGGAGGGUGCGAGCGUUAAUCGGAAUUACUGGGCGUAAAGCGCGCGUAGGCGGUCUGAUAAGCCGGUUGUGAAAGCCCCGGGCUCAACCUGGGAACGGCAUCCGGAACUGUCAGGCUAGAGUGCAGGAGAGGAAGGUAGAAUUCCCGGUGUAGCGGUGAAAUGCGUAGAGAUCGGGAGGAAUACCAGUGGCGAAGGCGGCCUUCUGGACUGACACUGACGCUGAGGUGCGAAAGCGUGGGUAGCAAACAGGAUUAGAUACCCUUGUAGUC
rnacentral:rRNA from 1 species